rnacentral:rRNA from 1 species
CGAACGGUAAGGUCUCUUCGGAGAUACACGAGUGGCGCACGGGUGCGUAACGCGUAUGCAACCUACCUUGAACUGGAACAUAGCCCCGAGAAAUCGGGAUUAAUAUUCCAUAAUGUCCAUUUUUUGCAUAUGAGAUGGAUUAAAGUUACGGCGGUUCAAGAUGGGCAUGCUUGACAUUAUCUAUUUGGUGAGGUAACGGCUCACCAAGGCGACGAUGUCUAGGGGUCCUGAGAGGGUUUCCCCCCACACUGGUACUGAGACACGGACCAGACUCCUACUGGAGGCAGCUUUAAGGAAUAUUGGUCAAUGGACGCAAGUCUGAACCAUCCAUGCCGCGUGCAGGAUGACUGCCCUACGGGUUGUAAACUGCUUUUACGUGAGAAAAAACUCCCCGAUUCCUUCGGGGACUGAUGGUAUCACAUGAAUAAGCAUCGGCUAACUCCGUGCCAGCAACCGCGGUAAUACUGAGGAUGCAAGCGUUAUCCGGAUUCAUUGGGUUUAAAGGGUGUGCAUGCGGAAUGAUAAGUCAGAGGUGAAAUCCCCCGGGCUCAACCGGGGACCUGCCUUUGAUACUGUUGUUCUUGAGUAUAGUUGAAGUGGGCGGAAUGUGUCAUGUAGCGGUGAAAUGCAUAGAUAUGACACAUAACACCGAUAGCGAACGCAGCUCACUGACCUAUAACUGACGCUCAUGCACGAAAGCGUGGAGAGCACACAGGAUUAGAUACCCUGGUAGUCCACGCUGUAUACUAUGAUCACUAGUUGUUAGCGACACACUGUUAGUGAUUGAGGGAAACCAUUAAGUGAUCCACCUGGGGAGUGCGGCCGCAAGGUUGAAACUCAAAGGAAUUGACGGGGGCCCGCACAAGCGGAGGAGCAUAUGGUUUAAUUCGAUGAUACGCGAGGAACCUUACCUGGGCUUAAAUGCAGGACGACAUCCCGUGAAAACGGGAUUUCUUCGGACGGCCUGCAAGAUGCUGCAUGGUUGUCGUCAGAUCGUGCCGUGAGGUGUCGGGUUAAGUCCCAUAACGAGCGCAACCCCUAUUCUUAGUUGCCAUCAGGUAAUGCUGGGAACUCUAAGGAAACCGCCUACGCAAGUAGUGAGGAAGGUGGGGAUGACGUCAAAUCAGCACGGCCCUUAUGUCCAGGGCGACACACGUGCUGCAAUGGCCGAUACAGAGGGGAGCUAACUGGUGACAGUCUGCAAAUCUCGAAAGUCGGUCUCAGUUCGGAUCGGAGUCUGCAACUUGAAUUCGUGAAGCUGGAUUCGUUAGUAAUCGCGCAUCAGCCACGGCCCGGUGAAUACGUUCCCGGUCCUUGUACACACCGCCCGUCAAGCCAUGGAAGUUGGGAGUACCUAAA